AAAAAUAAUCUGUAUCGUUAAGUAAACCUGUCCUACCAUCCGUGUGAUUGCAAAUCUCAAGGUUCAUUUUCAAAAGGCCACAGGCGUACAGGGGCCCGUCCACACCCGCACACGGCCGUAGGGAAAACUGUGACGAGACCGCAACAUCCCCGCUGGGCCACGCGGGUCGCCGUCCACACCGCAAACGGGCCCAGGGGCCCCGGGCACGCGCAGCACCAGACGUUCGGCGUCCACGCGGCCCCGACAGGCAGCGUCAGAACAACACAGGACCAAGGGACGGGGCCGGCCUGCCCCCAGCACCGUGCAGCUGCCACACGGGGAGGCGGGCAGCAGGCGGCCCCUGCCGCUCCCAGGCCCGAGGCUUGGAGGCGCACGAGGCGCUGCCCUCGGAUGUGCUGAGCCACGAAAUGAUUCAGCAGCAAGGAAAAUCAGAGGUUGGCAUCGACACGGACGCUGCCCUGGGAUGACACACACGCACCCCGUUCUGUGGCGGGCGGGUGGGACGGCCAACACACCAGCCCCUGCUGUGUCCCCGAGACGCGCCGGGACACGGCGACAUGCUCCGCUGUGGGGCCCCUGUGCACCUGCGGGGAGGAACAGGGACAGUCCAUGCGGCCCGGCUGCCACCAGCCUGUGUGGGGCUCAGCCCUGGCCCCUACUCUGCUGUCCCUUCCCCUGAAUCCGAGUGACUUUCCAGGAGCUCUGGGCCCGGAGCAUCCCGGCAACGACCCGCCACCGCCACACGUCACGUGGCUUCUCCGACACACGCGCGGUGCCUGACGCAUGCACCCCUCUUCCUGAGGCAUGUGCCUACUGUGUACCCAGCGGUCAGGGCUGACCCUCGCCGUCUGGACCCAUUGACAAGGGCAAGUGGCAAAGGUCAGCAGUACAACGUGAGCCAAAGAAAGCAGGCCCCGAAAACGUAGGCAAGGUGUGUGGGGCGUGUUAAAUGCACGUGUGUGCGCGUCGUCACUCACACUCGGGAUGCAGGAGGCUUCCCUCUCACGGCUGGAGGAUGCAUACAAAUUCCCCAGGCAAAGAGGGAAAGAGUGUUCCAGACGAAGGUGUAUGAGGCCUGGCGCGAAGCCAAAGAGCAGGUGUAGUGGGGGGAAGAGGAUGUGGGCGACUGGGGGGGGGGGUCACCGCAGGGCCGGUGGGGGGCGGCCUGCCUGGAGGAGGGGGUGGGGGUCGGAAGCAGAGGCUCCACAGGACAGUGGCUGUGGCGGGGAGGGACAGGGAGGACAGGGGCCCCGGCAGGGCCUGGGGGGGCCACGUGGGCAGGACACUGAGUCCUGCUGACACCCAGGGCAGUGGAGGGAGCCCCGGCCUGCACAUGGGGCGCCACCAGCCAGCAUCUCGAGGCGGGGGCCCAGCUCCCCCAGCUCCCAUGGGCACGACACCAUCCUCACACCUCGGGCUGAUCCCAAUGGACUCCGCUUGGCGCCCCUUGCAGGGACCUCGAGGAAGACGGCCGUCCUUCGGCGCCUGGCCUCUGUCACUGAGCACGACACCCGGAGGCACGUGUGGGGCGGGACCGGCCCCUUGUGCGAUCCCCGUGCGUACAGCCCGCAGGCUGGUCCCCGGGCCUCCGUGACAACCCCCGGGCCAGGGCCCAUGCGGGCUGUCAGGGUGACGUGAGCUGGCCAACAAAUGUCCCCCCGAGACUCUGCUCCCGCUUCUUCUGGGCGCAGAUGCAGGAGGGGGACCACGGUGUUGCGUGGGGACUGGCUUUGGGUGUUUGAGGAGCUGCCAAACGGCCCUCCACAGGAGCCGUGAUUCAUUUUUGCUAACAUUUUCAAGAUCUUCUAAAUGAAAACCAGAGCAGACAGUAGGAAGUGAGUUGUUUGGCCUGAGAGGUGGGAAGAAAGCCCCUCCCCCAGG
rnacentral:lncRNA from 1 species